rnacentral:rRNA from 1 species
UUAAGUGAAUAAGGGCGCACGGUGGAUGCCUUGGCACUAGGAGCCGAUGAAGGACGGGACUAACACCGAUAUGCUUUGGGGAGCUGUACGUAAGCUAUGAUCCAGAGAUUUCCGAAUGGGGGAACCCAACAUCUUUAAUAGGAUGUUACGAUUGUGUGAAUACAUAGCACAUUCGAGGUAGACGCAGAGAACUGAAACAUCUAAGUACCUGCAGGAAGAGAAAGAAAAUUCGAUUCCCUGAGUAGCGGCGAGCGAAACGGGAAAAGCCCAAACCAGCAAGCUUGCUUGUUGGGGUUGUAGGACUCCAAUAUGGUAGUUCUUUCAGAUAGUCGAAUGACUUGGAAAAGUCAGUCAAAGAGGGUAAAAACCCCGUAGACGAAAUGUGGAAGACACCUAGGAGGAUCCUGAGUACGGCGGAACACGAGAAAUUCCGUCGGAAUCCGGGAGGACCAUCUCCCAAGGCUAAAUACUCCCUAGUGACCGAUAGUGAACCAGUACCGUGAGGGAAAGGUGAAAAGCACCCCGGAAGGGGAGUGAAAUAGAACCUGAAACCGUGUGCCUACAACAAGUCAAAGCCCGUUAAUGGGUGAUGGCGUGCCUUUUGUAGAAUGAACCGGCGAGUUACGAUUGCAUGCGAGGUUAAGUUGAAGAGACGGAGCCGCAGCGAAAGCGAGUCUGAAUAGGGCGUUUGAGUAUGUAGUCGUAGACCCGAAACCAUGUGAUCUACCCAUGUCCAGGUUGAAGGUGCGGUAAAACGCACUGGAGGACCGAACCCACGUACGUUGAAAAGUGCGGGGAUGAGGUGUGGGUAGCGGAGAAAUUCCAAACGAACUUGGAGAUAGCUGGUUCUCUCCGAAAUAGCUUUAGGGCUAGCCUCGGAAUUGAGAAUGAUGGAGGUAGAGCACUGUUUGGACUAGGGGCCCAUCUCGGGUUACCGAAUUCAGAUAAACUCCGAAUGCCAUUCAUUCAUAUCCGGGAGUCAGACUGUGAGUGAUAAGAUCCAUAGUCGAAAGGGAAACAGCCCAGACCACCAGCUAAGGUCCCAAAAUAUAUGUUAAGUGGAAAAGGAUGUGGGGUUGCACAGACAACUAGGAUGUUGGCUUAGAAGCAGCCACCAUUUAAAGAGUGCGUAAUAGCUCACUAGUCGAGUGACCCUGCGCCGAAAAUGUACCGGGGCUAAACAUAUUACCGAAGCUGUGGAGUACACCUUUAGGUGUAUUGGUAGGAGAGCGUUCUAAGGGCGUUGAAGGCAGAUCGUGAGGACUGCUGGAGCGCUUAGAAGUGAGAAUGCCGGUAUGAGUAGCGAAAGACAGGUGAGAAUCCUGUCCACCGAAUGACUAAGGUUUCCUGGGGAAGGCUCGUCCGCCCAGGGUUAGUCGGGACCUAAGCCGAGGCCGACAGGCGUAGGCGAUGGAUAACAGGUUGAUAUUCCUGUACCCGUUGUUUUUGUUUGAGCAAUGGAGGGACGCAGGAGGCUAAGGAAUGCAGACGAUCGGAAAUGUCUGUCCAAGCAGUAAGUCUGAAGAGGAGUCAAAUGCUUCUUUUCUUAAGGACAAGCUGUGAUGGGGAGGGAAAUAAUAGUACCGAAGUUCCUGAUGUCACACUGCCGAGAAAAGCUUCUAGUGAGAAAACAGCGGCCCGUACCGCAAACCGACACAGGUAGUCGAGGAGAGAAUCCUAAGGUGAGCGAGAGAACUCUCGUUAAGGAACUCGGCAAAAUGACCCCGUAACUUCGGGAGAAGGGGUGCUGAUCAUACGAUCAGCCGCAGUGAAUAGGCCCAAGCGACUGUUUAUCAAAAACACAGGUCUCUGCAAAAUCGUAAGAUGAAGUAUAGGGGCUGACGCCUGCCCGGUGCUGGAAGGUUAAGAGGAGUGCUUAGCGCAAGCGAAGGUACGAAUUGAAGCCCCAGUAAACGGCGGCCGUAACUAUAACGGUCCUAAGGUAGCGAAAUUCCUUGUCGGGUAAGUUCCGACCCGCACGAAAGGCGUA